AAACCCAAAAGAUCGAAUGGGGAGAUUCAUCGCCAGCGGCGUUGGCUUCCGUGUGGCUCGCGAUGGCCGGGACUUCGGUCCAGCGUCACGCGUCCGCUGCGGUAUGUCCGACGACGUCGGCGUGCACUUCUCCCCUAGUAGGACGUCGCGACCCGUUGGGUGUCGGACCGAUGGCCGUCUGGUCGACUGUUUCGUCGCGUUUACGCGCGCACGUGGCAGACCAGCAUGGUCGAGUGUCCGGCUGCCCGGCGGUAUAGAACGCUAUUGAACGGUAAUGAGCCGCAUUAAGUGCGUUCAGGCCCGUCGGCAGGCUCGUCUCGCCCGGAUUUACGGACCUAGCGCCGUUGCCGGGUGCUUGGCGUGGCUGUUAGUCGACGGUGUCCUCGGACUGGCUCUAAAAUUCGAAAGGAUUACCGGUCGGCGACGCUACUGCUUUGGGUACUUUCAGGACCCGUCUUGAAACACGGA
rnacentral:rRNA from 1 species